rnacentral:lncRNA from 1 species
GCAGGACCAAGAAAAGUCUCAUUGUGUUGAUGUUAAUAAGUGAUUUUUUAUGUGCUUUAUCAAAUAUAUUUUUAUUCAUUUGAACUACUUGCUCAAGGGCUUUGAAUUCAUGUGCUUGUAAACUGUAAUUACUCUGUCUUGUCCUUGGAUCUCCAAUGGAGAAACUAUGUUCUAUGCUGAUGAGUCUGGGGUGCAUAUAAAUCAGGUGGAAGUAAAGCAUUAUAAGUAAUGGAUUAUAAUCUAAAUCAAGUGUGCAUAUAGAUCUGGGGGAAGUAAAGCACAAUAAGUAAUGGAUUAGAAUCUAAAUCAAGAAU